AACGCUGGCGGCGUGCCUAAUACAUGCAAGUCGAGCGAACAGAUGAGGAGCUUGCUCCUCUGACGUUAGCGGCGGACGGGUGAGUAACACGUGGAUAACCUACCUAUAAGACUGGGAUAACUUCGGGAAACCGGAGCUAAUACCGGAUAAUAUAUUGAACCGCAUGGUUCAAUAGUGAAAGACGGUUUUGCUGUCACUUAUAGAUUGAUCCGCGCCGCAUUAGCUAGUUGGUAAGGUAACGGCUUACCAAGGCAACGAUGCGUAGCCGACCUGAGAGGGUGAUCGGCCACACUGGAACUGAGACACGGUCCAGACUCCUACGGGAGGCAGCAGUAGGGAAUCUUCCGCAAUGGGCGAAAGCCUGACGGAGCAACGCCGCGUGAGUGAUGAAGGUCUUCGGAUCGUAAAACUCUGUUAUUAGGGAAGAACAAAUGUGUAAGUAACUAUGCACGUCUUGACGGUACCUAAUCAGAAAGCCACGGCUAACUACGUG
rnacentral:rRNA from 1 species